rnacentral:lncRNA from 1 species
GGGGCUGGCCAACUUCGUCCGCCGGACUCGGAAUUCCACGAGACUUUGCGAGCGGCCUCCGUGUGCCAAGAAUAGGCCGCGGCUAAAGCCGCGCCCAAAAAUAACCGCCCGAAGGCCGGGGCGCCAAGUUCGUCAAGCGGAAAAAGACCACAAAAACGGGUGGGCUAUAGCCUUGGGGGGUGGGGCUGGCCAACUUCGUCCGCCGGACUCGGAAUGCCGCGAAACUUUGCGAGGGGCCUCCGUGUGCCAAAAAUAGGACGUGAGUAAAGCCGCGCCCAAAAAUAACCGCCUGAAGGCCGGGGCGCCAAGUUCGUCCAGCUGAAAAAGGCCACAAAAACAGGUGGGCUAUAGCCUUGGGGGGUGGGUUGGCCCACUUCGUCCGCCGGACUCGGAAUGCCGCGACACUUUGGGAGGGGCCUCCGUGUGCGAAAAAUAGGCCGCGGGCAAAGCCGCGCCGAAAAAUAACCACCCGAAGGCCGGGGCGCAAAGUUCGUCCAGCGGAAAAAAGGCCACAAAAACGGGUGGGCUAUAUAGCCUUGGGGGGUGGGGCUGGCCAACUUCGUCCGCCGGACUCGGAAUGCCGCGAGACUUUACGAGGGGCCUCCGUGUGCCAAAAAUAGGCCGUGAGUAAAGCCGCGCCCAAAAAUAACCGCCCGAAGGCCGGGGCGCCAAGUUCGUCCAGCUGAAAAAGGCCACAAAAACAGGUGGGCUAUAGCCUUGGGUGGUGGGGUUGGCCCACUUCGUCCGCCGGACUCGGAAUGCCGCGAGACUUUGCGAGGGGCCUUCGUGUGCGAAAAAUAGGCCGCGGGCAAAGCCGCGCCGAAAAAUAACCACCCGAAGGCCGGGGCGCAAAGUUCGUCCAGCGGAAAAAGGCCACAAAAACGGGUGGGCUAUAUAGCCUUGGGGGGUGGGGCUGGCCCACUUCGUCCGCCGGACUGGGAAUGCCGCGAGACCCUGCGAGGGGCCUCCGUGUCUGAAAAAUAGGCCGCGGGCAAAGCCGCACCCAAAAAUAACCGCCCGAAGGCCGGGGCGCCAAGUUCGUCCAGCGGAAAAAGGCCACAAAAACGGGUGGGCUAUAGCCUUGGGGGGUCGGGCUGGCCAACUUCGUCCGCCGGACUCGGAAUUCCACGAGACUUUGCGAGCGGCCUCCGUGUGCCAAGAAUAGGCCGCGGCUAAAGCCGCGCCCAAAAAUAACCGCCCGAAGGCCGGGGCGCCAAGUUCGUCAAGCGGAAAAAGACCACAAAAACGGGUGGGCUAUAGCCUUGGGGGGUGGGGCUGGCCAACUUCGUCCGCCGGACUCGGAAUGCCGCGAAACUUUGCGAGGGGCCUCCGUGUGCCAAAAAUAGGCCGUGAGUAAAGCCGCGCCCAAAAAUAACCGCCUGAAGGCCGGGGCGCCAAGUUCGUCCAGCUGAAAAAGGCCACAAAAACAGGUGGGCUAUAGCCUUGGGGGGUGGGUUGGCCCACUUCGUCCGCCGGACUCGGAAUGCCGCGACACUUUGGGAGGGGCCUCCGUGUGCGAAAAAUAGGCCGCGGGCAAAGCCGCGCCGAAAAAUAACCACCCGAAGGCCGGGGCGCAAAGUUCGUCCAGCGGAAAAAGGCCACAAAAACGGGUGGGCUAUAUAGCCUUGGAGGGUGGGGCUGGCCAACUUCGUCCGCCGGACUCGGAAUGCCGCGAGACUUUACGAGGGGCCUCCGUGUGCCAAAAAUAGGCCGUGAGUAAAGCCGCGCCCAAAAAUAACCGCCCGAAGGCCGGGGCGCCAAGUUCGUCCAGCUGAAAAAGGCCACAAAAACAGGUGGGCUAUAGCCUUGGGUGGUGGGGUUGGCCCACUUUGUCCGCCGGACUCGGAAUGCCGCGAGACUUUGCGAGGGGCCUUCGUGUGCGAAAAAUAGGCCGCGGGCAAAGCCGCGCCGAAAAAUAACCACCCGAAGGCCGGGGCGCCAAGUUCGUCCAGCAGAAAAUGGCCACAAAAACGGGUGGGCUAUACCCUUGGGGGGUGGGGCUGGCCAACUUCGUACGCCGGAAACGGAAUGCUGCGAGACUUUGCGAGGGGCCUCCGUGUGCCAAAAAUAGGCAGCGGGCUAAGCCGCACCCAAAAAUAACUGCCCGAAGGCGGGGGUGCCAAGUUCGUCCAGCGGAAAAAGACCACAAAAACGGGUGGGCUAUACCCUUGGGGGGUGGGGCUGGCCCACUUCGUCCGCCGGACUCGGAAUGCCGCGAGACUUUGCGAGCGGCCUCCGUGUGCCAAAAAUAGGUCGCGGGCAAAGCCGUACCCAAAAAUAACCGCCCGAAGGCCCGGGCGCCAAGUUCGUCCAGCGGAAAAUGGCCACAAAAACGGGUGGGCUAUAGACUUGGGGGGUGGGGCUGGCCAACUUCGUCCGCCGGACUCGGAAUGCCGCGAGACUUUGCGAGGGUCCUCUGUGUGCCAAAAAUAGGCCGCGGGCAAAGCCGCACCCAAAACUAACCGCCCGAAGGCCGGGGCACCAAGUUCGUCCAGCGGAAAAUGGCCACAAAAACGGGUGGACUAUAGCCUUGGGGGGUGCGGCUGGCCAACUUCGUCCGCCGGACUCGGAGUGCCGCGAGACUUUGCGAGGGGCCUCCGUGUGGCAAAAAUAGGCCGCGGGUAAAGCCGCGCCCAAAAAUAACCGCCCGAAGGCCGGGGCGCCAAGUUCGACCAGCGGAAAAAGGCCACAAAAAAGGGUGGGCUAUUGCCUUGGGGGGUGGGGCCGGCCCACGUCGUCCGCCGGACUCGGAAUGGCGCGACACUUUCCGAGGUGCCUCCGUGUGCCAAAAAUAGGCCGCGGGCAGAGCUGCGCCCAAAAAUAACCGACCGAAGGCCGGGGCGCCAAGUUCGUCCAGCGGAAAAAGGCCAGAAAAACGGGUGGGCUAUAGCCUUGGGGGGUGCGGCUGGCCAACUUCGUCCGCCGGACUCGGAAUGGCGCGAGACAUUGCGAGCGGCCUCCGUGCACCAAGAAUAGGCCGCGGGCACAGACGCGCCCAAAAAUAACCGCCCGAAGGCCGGGGCGCCAAGUUCGACCAGCGGAAAAAGGCCACAAAAAAGGGUGGGCUAUUGCCUUGGGAGGUGGCGCCGGCCAACGUCGUCCGCCGGACUCGGAAUGGCGCGACACUUUCCGAGGCACCUCCGUGUGUCAAAAAUAGGCCGUGGGCAGAGCCGCGCCCAAAAAUAACCGCCCGAAGGCCGGGGCGCCAAGUUCGUCAAGCGGAAAAAGGCCACAAAAACGGGUGGGCUAUAGCCUUGGGGGGUGGGGCUGGCCCACUUCGUCCGCCGGACUCGGAAUGCCGCGAGACUUUGCGAGGGCCCUCCGUGUGCGAAAAAUAGGCCGUGGUCAAAGCCGCGCCGAAAAAUAACCACCCAAAGGCCGGGGCGCCAAGUUCGUCCAGCGGAAAAAGGCCACAAAAACGGGUGGGUUAUAGCCUUGGGUUGUGGGGCUGGCAAACUUCGUCCGCCGGACUCGGAAUGCCGCGAGACUUUGCGAGGGGCCUCCGUGUGCCAAAAAUAGGCCGCGGGCAAAGCCGCGCCCGAAAAUAACCGCCCGAAGGCCGGGGCGCCAAGUUCGUCCAGCGGAAAAAGGCCACAAAAACGGGUGGGCUAUAGCCUUGGGGGGUGGGGCUGGCCAACUUCGUCCGCCGGACUCGGAAUGCCGCGAGACUUUUCGAGGGGCCUCCGUGUGCCAAAAAUAGGCCGAGGGCAAAGCCGCGCCCGAAAAUAACCGGCCGAAGGCCGGGGCGCCAAGUUCGUCCAGCGGAAAAAGGCCACAAAAACGGGUGGGCUAUAGCCUUGGGGAGUGGGGCUGGCCAACUUCGUCCCCCGGACUCGGAAUGCCGCGAGACUUUGAGAGGGGCCUCCAUGUGACAAAAAUCGGCCGCGGGUAAAGCCGCGCCCAAAAAUAACCGCCCGAAGGCCGGGGCGCCAAGUUCGUCCUGCUGAAAAAGGCCACAAAAACAGGUGGGCUAUAGCCUUGGGGGGCGGGGUUGGCCCACUUCGUCCGCCGGACUCGGAAUGCCGCGAGACUUUGCGAGGGGCCUCCGUGUGCCAAAAAUAGGCCGCGGGCAAAGCCGCACCGAAAAAUAACCACCCGAAGGCCGGGGCGCCAAGUUCGUCCAGCGGAAAAUGGCCACAAAAACGGGUGGGCUAUACCCUUGGGGGGUGGGGCUGGCCAACUUCGUCUGCCGGACUCAGAAUGCCAUGAGACUUUCCGAGGGGCCUCCGUGUGCCAAAAAUAGGCCACGGGCUAAGCCGCGCCCAAAAAUAACUGCCCGAAGGCCGGGGCGCCAUGUUCGUCCAGCGGAAAAAGGCCACAAAAACGGGUGGGCUAUAGCCUUGGGUGGUGGGGCUGGCCAACUUCGUCCGCCGGACUCGGAAUGCCGCGAGACUUUGCGAGGGGCCUCCGUGUGCCAAAAAUAGGCCGUGAGUAAAGCCGCGCCCAAAAAUAACCGCCCGAAGGCCGGGGCGCCAAGUUCGUCCAGCUGAAAAACGCCACAAAAGCAGGUGGGCUAUAGCCUUGGGGGGUGGGUUUGGCCCACUUCGUCCGCCGGACUCGGAAUGCCGCGAGACUUUGUGAGGGGCCUCCGUGUGCGAAAAAUAGGCCGCGGGCAAAGCCGCGCCGAAAAAUAACCACCCGAAGGCCGGGGCGCCAAGUUCGUCCAGCGGAAAAAGGCCACAAAAACGGGUGGGCUAUAUAGCCUUGGGGGGUGGGGCUGGCCAACUUCGUCCGCCGGACUCGGAAUGCCGCGAGACUUUGCGAGGGGCC